rnacentral:rRNA from 1 species
UACGUAGGGUGCAGGCGUUAAUCGGAAUUACUGGGCGUAAAGCGUGCGCAGGCGGUUUGCUAAGACAGGUGUGAAAUCCCCGGGCUUAACCUGGGAACUGCGCUUGUAACUGGCAAGCUUGAGUGUGGCAGAGGGGGGUGGAAUUCCGCGUGUAGCAGUGAAAUGCGUAGAUAUGCGGAGGAACACCGAUGGCGAAGGCAAUCCCCUGGGCCUGUACGGACGCUCAUGCACGAAAGCGUGGGGAGCAAACAGG